GUGACGGUAGCUCAACGGUAGAGCACUCGGGGCCCCGCCGCGGAAGCGGCAACAGAAGAGUGGUUGCGGGUUCGAAUCCCGUCCGUCUCACCA
rnacentral:tRNA from 1 species